GCGACUUCUACCAUUGUCUUAAAUAUAUUUAAUGGUCUCGUUGCAAAAGCUAAAUUGUCGCAAGGGAACUUUUAUUUAUUUAUUUUAUUUCUCCUUUAUUUAACCCGGGUAGCGAAGAUUAUAGCAAACACCACUGAAACUGAAUUGGUGCUCGCUAGCUUUGCAAAUUCAGCUAUUGUUGGAAGCCAGCCAAUAUGAAACAAACUAUUAAAAUUACAAAAGGUUGCAGCAUAUGUUGUGUAAAUGGUGAACUCAUACAGCUGUCAACUCUUGUCAUUUUAAUCCGUUUCACAUUUGCUAGCUACCUUUUAGAUCGAAGCCCAAAUAGAAUGAUAGAAGAUGAUAGAAGCCCAUCUCCUACUGUAAAUAACCUACACACUGUGUGUGUGUGUAGCCAGCCAGCCAGUCAGGUAGAAAAAUGGCAGAAAAAUAAAAGACGGACAUCAGAGUAUUUUUCAGUACACCAAAACGCAAAGCAGAGCAGGCAACAGAUGGCACACAGACAGCAGAGUUGGGGACAGCUAUGCAGGGACAGACUGGCAGAGACAGGGAGUCUCAGACAACCGGGACAUCUUUCUGGAGUGGAUUCUAGAUACAGAAACAUAAUUCCUUUGCCUGCUUGUGUCAUUGUAGGUGAAUUGUAUAGGGAUAGGAUUUGACAUUGUGCUCGAUUUCAAGCAGAUGAAUUUCAGGAGCUGAAUGGUAGUUUGAUCAUACAGUAGCACUCCUCCCACAGCUUUACAAGUAUUCCCUAAAUUUACUUUAUGUUUCUUUGGAAUGGCAAGCAUACCCAGCAUACCUCCAGCAGAAGGAUUGGCCUGCUAGAGUUGUAAUACGUUUGUAGCCUGCGUUGUGUCUGCCUUUUAUACAACAUUUGCUAACAUAAGUACACAUAAAACCCAUGGCAUACAAGGAUACCAUGGUGAUUGCCUACGGAGCUGUGAAGGGAACGGCACCUCCAUACCUUCAGGCUCUGAUCAGGCCCUACACCCAAACAAGGGCACUGCGUUCAUCCACCUCUGGCCUGCUGGCCCCCCUACCUCUGAGGAAUCACAGUUCCCGCUCAGCCCAGUCAAAACUGUUCGCUGCUCUGGCACCCCAAUGGUGGAACAAGCUCCCUCACGACGCCAGGACAGCGGAGUCAAUCACCACCUUCCGGAGACACCUGAAACCCCACCUCUUUAAGGAAUACCUAGGAUAGGAUAAAGUAAUCCUUCUAACCCCCCCC
rnacentral:lncRNA from 1 species